CCUACGGGAGGCUGCAGUGGGGAAUAUUGCACAAUGGGCGAAACCCUGAUGCAGCAACGCCGCGUGAAGGAAGAAGGGUUUCGGCUCGUAAACUUCUAUCAACAGGGACGAAAGAAAUGACGGUACCUGAAUAAGAAGCCCCGGCAAACUACGUGCCAGCAGCCGCGGUAAUACGUAGGUGGCAAGCGUUGUCCGGAUUGACUGGGUGGAAAGGGCGUGCAGGCGGGAAGACAAGUCAGAUGAGAAAUCCCGGGGCUCAACCGCGGAACUGCAUUUGAAACUGUUGUUCUUGAGGACCGGAGAGGUCAGCGGAAUUCCUAGUGUAGCGGUGAAAUGCGUAGAUAUAAGGAGGAACACCAGUGGCGAAGGCGGAUUACUGGACGGCAACUGACGGUGAGGCGCGAAAGCGUGGGGAGCAAACAGGAUUAGAUACCCCUGUAGUC
rnacentral:rRNA from 1 species